AACGAACGCUGGCGGAAUGCUUUACACAUGCAAGUCGAACGGCAGCACGGACUUCGGUCUGGUGGCGAGUGGCGAACGGGUGAGUAAUAUAUCGGAACGUAUCCAAUAAUGGGGGAUAACUAGUCGAAAGAUUGGCUAAUACCGCAUACGCCCUACGGGGGAAAGCAGGGGAUCUUCGGACCUUGCGUUAAUGGAGCGGCCGAUAUCUGAUUAGCUAGUUGGUGGGGUAAAGGCCCACCAAGGCGACGAUCAGUAGCUGGGAGGAGAGGACGACCAGCCACAGUGGAACUGAGACACGGUCCAGACUCCUACGGGAGGCAGCAGUGGGGAAUUUUGGACAAUGGGCGCAAGCCUGAUCCAGCCAUUCCGCGUGAGUGAAGAAGGCCUUCGGGUUGUAAAGCUCUUUCGCAAGGGAAGAAAACUUAGCCACUAACAUUGGCUGAGGUUGACGGUACCUUGAUAAGAAGCACCGGCUAACUACGUGCCAGCAGCCGCAGUAACAC
rnacentral:rRNA from 1 species